AAAAAAAAACAAAGGCCUGUCUAAGAUGUUUCAAAAAACAUCUUAAUGAAACCAAAGACUUUGAACUAGUUUAUUUUUGUGUGUUAGUUCUGUUGGAAUUCCUCCCUGUUUCUCUCUCUGUUCUACUUCUGCUCACGACUUUCCUUCCCCAGCUCUCUCUUCCUUCAUUGAACUCAGCUGUUCCUCAUUUUCCACCUGAUUACUCUCACCGGGUUUUGCCAUGCCAUCUCCACACUUGUCCCUGUAUUUAAGCUCUCCGGUUUUCACUGCUCUUCACUGUGUCUUUCCGUUUCUAUGCCCGUUACACUUCCUGUUUUGUGCUGAAUGUGACUUUGCCUGUGUUCCCUGCUCUGAUAACCUUGUGCCAGCCAUGUUGCGCUCAGACUGCCGGUGUUCUGCGUCCCCUGCUGAUCCAUUGAUUUGUCUUUGAUGAAGCUGAUUCUGGAGGAGCAUGUGAUAAUGCUCCAUAUGUUUUUGCAGAAGAACUUCACAUGUCCAUCUGAAUGACAUCAGUAUUACAGGGUAUCUAAAGAAGCCUCUGACUGAAAACACUGUUGUCCUGACAGUCUCAUGAUCUCAGGGUUAUUCAUUAUGUUCUUCAUUUUUUGAAGAAUCCUUCUUUGCAUAAUCAUCAAUAGUGACUCAAGAACAUAUUAGAGAAAAGUCCCAGCUUUUAAUCAUCUUGCUGAGCUUUUUUAAGUCCCUGGCUCUAAAUGCUGCUACCUGAACAGAAGAGAUCCCACUCUCCAUAACAAACUUUGCAAACUUGCUCCAAACACUUACCGGACCGGAGGUUCCUCAAGAAGUAAAGUCUGCUCUGUUUCUACUUGUAGAAAGCUUUACUGUUAAGCCUCUGGUCCAGUCUGUUGUCCAGGUGAACAGCAAGAUAUUUAUGUAUAGUCCCCAACCAUCUCUGCUUUUUCACCCAAGAUGGAAACAAUGUUUGACAUUUUCCAGCUUUCUGUUCUCAGCCUCUUGUCCAUCUCUGAUGCACCCGACGGCUGCGGAGUCAUCCGAGUAUUUUUGCAGAUGACAAGACUCUCUUGUACUGGAGAUCUGAGGUGUACAGAGUUAAAAGGAAUAAAAACUGUGCUCGCUCUGUC